rnacentral:rRNA from 1 species
CCUACGGGAGGCAGCAGUGGGGAAUCUUGCGCAAUGGGCGAAAGCCUGACGCAGCAACGCCGCGUGCGGGAAGAAGGCUUUCGGGCUGUAAACCGCUUUCAGCAGGAACGAAAAUGACGGUACCUGCAGAAGAAGGAGCGGCCAACUAUGUGCCAGCAGCCGCGGUGAUACAUAGGCUUCAAGCGUUGUCCGGAUUUAUUGGGCGUAAAGAGUUCGUAGGCGGUCGAGUAAGUCGGGUGUGAAAAUUCUGGGCUCAACCCAGAGACGCCACCCGAUACUGCUUGACUUGAGUUCGAUAGGGGAGUGGGGAAUUCCUAGUGUAGCGGUGAAAUGCGCAGAUAUUAGGAGGAACACCGGUGGCGAAGGCGCCACUCUGGAUCGAUACUGACGCUGAGGAACGAAAGCAUGGGUAGCAAACAGGAUUAGAUACCCUGGUAGUCCAUGCCGUAAACGGUGGGCACUAGGUGUGGGUUUCUAUUAACGAAAUCCGCGCCGUCGCUAACGCAUUAAGUGCCCCGCCUGGGGAUACGGUCGCAAGACUAAAACUCAAAGGAAUUGACGG